CACUAAUCUUCAGGAAACAGCAAAUCAAAACCAAAAUUAGAUAUUGCCUCACAUCUGUUAAAAUGACUAUUAUCAAAAAGACAAUGAAAAGUGU